rnacentral:lncRNA from 1 species
AUUCUACUACAAAUAAACUCGAUAUUCACAAUAUUAGUCGAGUCUACACCGUUCAUAUGCUGGUUUCUGCCGAUCUCAAAGCGGUCUUAAUCGUUUUGAGCUUCUUGGGCUCCCAAUAACUGGGCAAGGCUUGGUGGGAUCGUAGAACACAGAAGCAUUUGUAGUUCUAGAUUUUAUAAAUGGGCCUUUUGUUGGAUCAAUCUCAGAGAUCAAGAUGAUUUUUAAUCUUCCACUUAUUUGAUGGGAUGGUUAAGAGUUAUCACUAGCAGUACCUCGUAUGUGUAGCAUAUGCGUAACAUACUUUUUUUUC